AGGAAAAACAAUGCCUGUCUUUGUCUGACUCAAAAAGCAUGCUGAAUGGACUUUUCAUCCAUGUGGCUGUGAUCAGUUCCUAAAGCAGAGGAAUCUGCAGCCUAAUGACACAUCAGGAAUUGAUGGAACCCCAGCAGACAGCUUCUAUGAGGAGAUUAGGACUCUCAGAAGAGACACCAGAGGCGUGGCCACACAGAGAAAAAGAUCAUGUGGGGACACAGUGAAAAGGCAGCCAUCAUAAGCCACAGAGAGAGGACUCAGAAGAAACCAACUCUGCUGACACCUUCAUCUUGAACUUCUAGCCUCUAGAACUGUGAAAAAACAAAUUUCUGUUGUUAAGACACCCGGUCUGUGGUAUUUUGUUAAGACAGCCCUAGCAAACUAACACAAUUUUGUACACUAAAUAAAGUCCAAUUCAAUUUUAAUUUUAUAGAAACUGAAACAAAUAAUUUAAAGAUUUACUUAGUAAAUUACUUCAGAUUGGGAUCAAAUGUGUACAUGAAUUAUGAAAAUGUAAGAAAUGGAUAUUUAAAUAAGUAUACCAGAACAUAAAAAUUCCAGUGCCUGGUUUUUUUUUUUUUUUUGAAAGCCACUUAUCCCAACAAUAAAACUGAUGCUCAAAAUA
ensembl:lncRNA novel transcript